CUCAGAGACUAGAGCUCAGACAUAUCCUUCUCCUGACACUUCCUGUGGAUGUCCUGACCACCAGAAAGAAGAAACAGAUUUCCUAAUAAGAAUUGCUUUGGUGAAAAGAAAGAGCGGGCAACCCAGAAACAGAUGUUCAGGCAGAAAUGACUAAGCAUGACCUCAACUGGUGUGACCUGGAAAAACUUGCCCUUGAACAGAGUGAGAUGGAGGAUAUUCAACAACCUAUGCUCCGGAUAGGAGCCACGGUCUUAAGACUUUAAUCAAGACCUGAGCCCUAGGACCAUGCCUCAGGACUACCUGACAUGAUGACUCCUUGCUGUCCCCAGUCCACCUGGCCGUGCUGCUGCUCCAGUUUCAACUGUUCUGCCUUAUUAUUAUUGGACCAUGCUGGUCAUUUAUGAACAUUUGAACAUUUUGGCCAUGUUCUGUUAUAAUCUCCACCCGGCACAGCCAGAAGAGGACUGGCCACCCCACAUAGCCUGGUUCCUCUCUAGGUUUCUUCCUAGGUUUUGGCCUUUCUAGAGAGUUUUUCCUCGCCACUGUGCUUCUACACCUGCAUUGCUUGCUGCUUGGGGUUUUAGGCUGGGUUUCUGUACAGCACUUUGAGAUAUGUACGAAGGGCUAUAUGAAUACAUUUGAUUUGAUUUUGAUUUGACACGUCUGGCACUGCAGGAUUUGAGUCCCUGGCGUCGUAGUGUGUUACUGAUGGUAGGCUUUGUUACUUUGGUCCCAGCUCUCUGCAGGUCAUUCACUAGGUCCCCCCGUGUGGUUCUGGGAUUUUUGCUCACCGUUCUUGUGAUCAUUUUGACCCCACGGGGUGGGAUCUUGCGUGGAGCCCCAGAUUGAGGGAGAUUAUCAGUGGUCUUGCAUGUUUUCCAUUUCCUAAUAAUUGCUCCCACAGUUGAUUUCUUCAAACCAAGCUGCUUACCUAUUGCAGAUUCAGUCUUCCCAGCCUGGUGCAGGUCUACAAUUUUGUUUCUGGUGUCCUUUGACAGCUCUUUGGUCUUGGCCAUAGUGGAGUUUGGAGUGUGACUGUUUGAGGUUGUGGACAGGUGUCUUUUAUACUGAUAACAAGUUCAAACAGGUGCCAUUAAUACAGGUAACGAGUGGAGGACAUAGGAGCCUCUUAAAGAAGAAGUUACAGGUCUGUGAGAGCCAGAAAUCGUGCUUGUUUGUAGGUGACCAAAUACU